UACGGGGGGGGCAAGCGUUGUUCGGAAUUACUGGGCGUAAAGGGCUCGUAGGCGGCCAACUAAGUCGGAUGUGAAAUCCCCAGGCUCAACCUGGGAACUGCAUCCGAUACUGGAUGGCUUGAAUUCGGGAGAGGGAUGCAGAAGUUCCAGGUGUAGCGGUGAAAUGCGUAGAUAUCGUGGAGGAAUACCGGUGGCGAAGGCGGCAUCCUGGACCGACAUUGACGCUGAGGAGCGAAAGCCAGGGGAGCAAACGGG
rnacentral:rRNA from 1 species